GAAGCCAUUUCUGAGCAGCAAAAACUCAAGGAUGUGAAUGCAGCUUUAACGAGCGCUUGCCAGUUGCUUCAGGAAAAGAUGGAAGAGCAAAAAGCACUGUAGAUGAAGAAUCUGAAUAUAGCCUGCUGCCCACAUCAACUGAGCCUGUAAAAGGGAAGCAGCUCCACUGCUCUAAACAGUGGAGUGAGGGACCCAGCUUCUGCACUGAACCUCUCAAGACGCGACCCUCAGAUAUUUCAUGCUGGUGUCUUACACCCCUGCUAGAUGCUCUGACCUUGGAAACCUCAUGCCCAAAUAACUCUCCUGUGCCCAUCUGGCAUCCCCGCUAUAAGUGGAGCUCUGGCAGCUGCACAUCUGAGAAUUGCAGUCUGGGACAUGGGUCCACUCUGGAUGUGACAUCAAUUGGGUGGAAGUGGAAAAUAUGCUCUGCUGGUAACUGUACUGAUGCAG
rnacentral:lncRNA from 1 species